rnacentral:lncRNA from 10 species
AGACCAAGCCUGUCUCUUCCAUUGUACUCUCGUGAGCUACCUGGGUCAGAACCUGAAAUCUUGGCGCAGAAGUCCUGUGGCCUGCCUAUAAACUUCUCAUUCCCGGCAGCUGGCACAUGCAUGGCCCAAUAAAUAUUUCUUGAUUGAAUGGAAGGAGCUGUGAAUAGUGGCCUCCUCAAGCAAAGGACAUUUUAUCUCCCAAAGGGAAAUCUACUUUGUUGAUAUGAAAGUGAGCUUCUUAAUAGGUCUACGGGGCAACAUUUUGCUAACCCCAUUCAAAUUAUAACAGACUUCAAAGUCAUAAAGGCAGUAAUAUGCUUCCUUUUAAGUGUGUAAUUUGUAUUUUUUUACACCCAGGAAUGGAAAACAGGGAGUGAAAUAUCCCCCAAUUAUUAUUUUGUGCUUUUGAGGCAGGAUGGCCCACUCACCUGUGGGGACUCUGGUGGCCAAGCACCUCCCACCUCAUUCUUGGCAAUUGUUUUCAUCUGCCUCCCUUCACACUGGCCCUAGCUCAGGUCUGGAAUCUUCCCAGGGUCUGACCUCUGAGUGUCUGUCUCAUGCAAUUCUGCUGCCCUGGUAUUGACUCUCAGGACACAGAAGUAUACUCUCUGCCACAUUCAUGACCACCCUGGGUGACGUGUCAAGGCAUCUUAGUGCAGCCCUGAGUCCCUUGGAGGGAAAUGGCCCCAGUCUGCUUCCUGUUUGAGGUAGCUCUGUUCUGGAUCACUUGGUCCUCCCCUCUCCCUCCUGCCACUGCUGAUUGCAUUGUGGUGAUCACCCCAAGGUCAUCCCAAAGGCAGGCUGCCGUGUAGAGCCUGGCUUGGCACAGGAGGCCCCAGCCAAUGAUCUCUGAUGCUGACCUCAUGCUCCAGGUGCCUGAAACAAAGAAAAGAAAUGCAGAUAAUUGGAUCUUCAUGACAAUUUCCCAACUGGCCACUUUCCCUGUAACAAGACCAAGCCUGUCUCUUCCAUAUGGGUCAGCCAUAUCCCACCCACUCCUCCUGGGAUUUGACUUGGGGAAUGUGGACAGAAUCACACAGUCAGUAGAAGUUGGAAAGUAGGCGGAAGUGGCCACAUGGGGUAGGGACAUAUCAGAGUUAUGAUGAAUCAGAAGCAGAAGCCCCAAGUUGAAGAAGAGAUACAAAGCUUGGAAGCAGGAAGAGAUGGAGCGGACACACAAAGGAAUCCAACACUGGAGAACGGCAACGUAAAGGUGGCGUGCUAGGGGAAAGCUCCAGAAUUCCUGCAGCUGGGCGCUGGAGCCACCCUGAACUUUCAAAGACCUCCCUAUUCCAGUCUCCACAAUCCCAGGUCC